rnacentral:rRNA from 1 species
UACGAAGGGGGCUAGCGUUGCUCGGAAUCACUGGGCGUAAAGCGCACGUAGGCGGAUUGCUAAGUCAGGGGUGAAAUCCUGGAGCUCAACUCCAGAACUGCCUUCGAUACUGAGGAUCUCGAGUCCGGGAGAGGUGAGUGGAACUGCGAGUGUAGAGGUGAAAUUCGUAGAUAUUCGCAAGAACACCAGUGGCGAAGGCGGCUCACUGGCCCGGUACUGACGCUGAGGAGCGAAAGCGUGGGGAGCGAACAGG